AGGUACCGUCAAAUAUAUACGGUAUUAACGUAUAUACAUUUCUUCCCUACUGACAGAGCUUUACGACCCGAAGGCCUUCCUCACUCACGCGGCGUCGCUGCGUCAGGGUUUCCCCCAUUGCGCAAUAUUCCUC
rnacentral:rRNA from 1 species